AUGAACGCUGGCGGCUUGCCUAAUUCAUGCAAGUCGAUCGAACGGACGAGAAUCUUUCUUCUCUGAUGUUAGCGGCGGACGGGUGAGUAACACGUGGAUAACCUACCUAUAAGACUGGGAUAACUUUGGGAAACCGGAGCUAAUACCGGAUAAUAUUUUGAACCGCAUGGUUCAAAAGUGAAAGACGGUCUUGCUGUCACUUAUAGAUGGAUCCGCGCUGCAUUAGCUAGUUGGUAAGGUAACGGCUUACCAAGGCAACGAUGCAUAGCCGACCUGAGUGGGUGAUCGGCCACACAGAAUAUGAGACACGCUCCACACUCCUACGAGAGCCAUCAGUAGGGAAUUUUCCGCUUGGGGCGUAAGCCUGACGGAGCAGCGCCGCGUGAGUGAUGAAGGUCUUCGGAUCUUAGAACUUUGUUAUUAGGGAACAACAAAUGUGUAAGUAACUGUGCACAUCUUGACAGUGCCUAAUCAGAAAGCCACGGCUAACUACGUG
rnacentral:rRNA from 1 species